UAAUUUUGGGGAUGGUAUAUUUAUUUUGGAGUGGCUAGAUAUAUGGCUUAAGUAUAUAUAUUUUUGAUAAAGUUACAUUUUGACAGAUAAUUUAUUGAAAAUGCUUAAAAUUGACCCCGUGUGUGUCGAAAUGGCAUGUUAAGAUGCUGGACUCACAUGUCGCUAGCGUGUCUAGAACGCUAACCACGUGUCGGUCCAAGUUGA